rnacentral:lncRNA from 1 species
GUUAAUUACUAUGUGUAGUCUACUACAAUCAUACAGAGUCUCUGAAUGUAUGAAACAGUGAAUUCCUUGUUCAUAUGAAUUCUUUAGGAUAUUUGUCAUUAUUAGUUUGUUGUUACUAUUAAAUCGUAAAUAAAACAAAUUAUUGUCAGGAAUAAAAUAAUGAAAUACAGUUGAAUAUUCAACACAGUAUAUCAGCCUUUGUAAGCAAGCCAUGAAGCAUGGUAUAAUAUUAUCUGGUCUCCAUACUGAUGGGUCUAAUUCUUCUGAGAUCGAAAACAUCAGUGUCUUUAGAAAAUAGGAACACAAUAAACCUUUCACAUCUUGGUGCUUGUCUACAAUUUCUUUGAGAAGGAUUUUUAACAAGGCAUA